rnacentral:rRNA from 1 species
AUUGAACGCUGGCGGCAUGCCUUACACAUGCAAGUCGAACGGCAGCGCGGGGCAACCUGGCGGCGAGUGGCGAACGGGUGAGUAACAUAUCGGAACAUACCCUAGAGUGGGGAUAACGUAGCGAAAGUUACGCUAAUACCGCAUACGCACUAAGGUGGAAAGUGGGGGAUUCGCAAGAACCUCAUGCUCAUGGAGUGGCCGAUAUCUGAUUAGCUAGUUGGUGAGGUAAAGGCUCACCAAGGCGACGAUCAGUAGCUGGUUUGAGAGAACGACCAGCCACACUGGAACUGAGACACGGUCCAGACUCCUACGGAGGCAGCAGUGGGGAAUUUUGGGACAAUGGGGGGCAACCCUGAUCCAGCAAUGCCGCGUGAGUGAAGAAGGCCUUCGGGUUGGUUAAA